UACGUAUGGUGCAAGCGUUAUCCGGAUUUACUGGGUGUAAAGGGAGUGUAGGUGGCCUGGCAAGCCAGAGGUGAAAACCCGGGGCUCAACCCCGCGGAUUGCCUUUGGAACUGUUGGGCUGGAGUGCAGGAGGGGUAAGCGGAAUUCCCAGUGUAGCGGUGAAAUGCGUAGAUAUUGGGAGGAACACCGGUGGCGAAGGCGGCUUACUGGACUGUAACUGACACUGAGGCUCGAAAGCGUGGGGAGCAAA
rnacentral:rRNA from 1 species